rnacentral:miRNA from 1 species
UCUCACCCCAACUCUGCCCCAG